AUUGAACGCUGGCGGCAGGCCUAACACAUACAAGUCGAACGAGUGGCGGACGGGUGAGUAAUGUCAGGGAAACUGACUGAUGGAGGGGGAUAACUAAUGGAAAAGGUAGCUAAUAACGCAUACCAUCAGAUGUGCCCAUAUGUGAUUAGCUUGGUUGUGGGGUAACGGCUCACCAAGGCGACGAUCCCUAGCUGGUCUGAGAGGAUGACCAGCCACACUGGAACUUCGACACGGUCCAGACUCCUAAGGGAGGCAGCAGUGGGGAAUAUUGCACAAUGGGCGCAAGCCUGAUGCAGCCAUGCCGCGUGUAUGAAGAAGGCCUUCGGGUUGUAAAGUACUUGCAGCGGGGAGGCGUUACCAGCAGAAGAAGCACCGGCUAACUCCGUGCCAGCAGCCGCGGUAAUAC
rnacentral:rRNA from 1 species